AGAGGCGACCGCAUCAGAGUGCAUGUGCCCAAUUGUGUCCACUCUUGGAAACUAAGCAGUGCUGUGCAUGGUUAGUACUUCGAUGGGACACCACCUUGAAAGACCAGGGGAUCCUGUC
rnacentral:rRNA from 12 species